UACGUAGGGUGCAAGCGUUGUCCGGAAUUAUUGGGCGUAAAGAGCUCGUAGGCGGUUUGUCGCGUCUGCUGUGAAAACUCGGGGCUUAACCCCGGGCCUGCAGUGGGUACGGGCAGACUAGAGUGCGGUAGGGGAGACUGGAAUUCCUGGUGUAGCGGUGGAAUGCGCAGAUAUCAGGAGGAACACCGGUGGCGAAGGCGGCUUCCUGGACCGAUACUGACGCUGAGGCGCGAAAGCUAGGGGAGCAAACGGG
rnacentral:rRNA from 1 species